rnacentral:misc_RNA from 2 species
AAAAAUUCCAACUAAAAGUAUAGCAGCCUUAGUGCUGCUUACUUUUAAACCCUUGUGAACUGUUUAUUGUCUAUGGUGGGUUAAAAGAUCUCUCUUUGUAAGGGAUUGGCUUUAACCAGCUACCCACCUAUUAUUUAAACACUUAUAAAUUUUGUCUUUAAUAAUUCAUUUUUGAAUUCUUUGAAUUUAAAAA